CCUACGGGUGGCUGCAGUGGGGAAUUUUGGACAAUGGGCGCAAGCCUGAUCCAGCCAUUCCGCGUGAGUGAAGAAGGCCUUCGGGUUGUAAAGCUCUUUCGCAAGGGAAGAAAACUUAUCCUCUAACAUAGGAUGAGGUUGACGGUACCUUGAUAAGAAGCACCGGCUAACUACGUGCCAGCAGCCGCGGUAAUACGUAGGGUGCGAACGUGAAGCGAAGCGUGUGCGCGUUAAGCGUGCAGUCAGUGGUGAAAUCCCCGAGCUCAACGUGGGAACUGCGUUUGAAACUACAAGACUAGAAUAGGUCAGAGGGGGGUAGAAUUCCACGUGUAGCAGUGAAAUGCGUAGAGAUGUGGAGGAAUAUCAAUGGCGAAGGCAGCCCCCUGGGAUCAUAUUGACGCUCAUGCACGAAAGCGUGGGGAGCAAACAGGAUUAGAUACCCUUGUAGUC
rnacentral:rRNA from 1 species